rnacentral:lncRNA from 1 species
GAACUCACUGAGGCAGCCUGCCAUCUAGCUUUUUCACAGCAAAAUAGGCUUGCAGACUGCAGAUGAGAGACUCGGGAGCAGAGACAAUUUUAACUUAGCCAUCCCUAAUUUAUCUCAAGCUUUUUCAAUUCAUCUUCACUGCUCUGUGCACAUGGAACACCAGAUUGUCAACCCCUGGGAACUGAAUGCAACCAGGGAUCUAGAGAGCUGUCACAUCCUGAGAAAUAUUUAAAUUGUGCUGAUUUUCUUCUGGAGUGCUGAGCAGAGGGAAUGAAACUCUCCAUCAAGUCAUAGCUUUGUGGGCAAUAGAUCAGAGGAUACUGCCAGUUUUUCUAAUGGAUUAUUGUUAUCGGGCAGGUUCUUCCUGAAGAGUCAUUUUAGUGCAGCAGCUAUAUCAUGGAUUUUUUUGUGUGACCUUGAUAACUGCUGUCAAGCCCUUCAGAUAACUGCCAGAUUUGUCAAGGUUAAAAGGGUGAACACUCUGCAAAUGGUACAUUUCUACAUUUUGUGUCUCUCUUAUAAACCCGAAGAACAGUUUUGCGGAAGGUUGCUGGGAUCACAUGGUGUUAUGAGACGGGAUAAGUUUACUGUCUUCUGAGAGAAAUUAUUGCUUGAUCCUCUCUAAACAAGACUUAUGGAAGUGGCCACACAAACCUGUCUGAACUCCAGUGGCUCCAGAACUACUUGUCUUGAGCCUAAGACUUGAAAGCACUUUAUAAGGAAGGAAGUGACUAGAACAUAAACUUUCGCCAUCCUCUACAGGAAUGAUACCUAGUACAGAAAUUAAAAAAUAUAUCCGCUGCCUUCUGUAUCCAUCAGGUGAUUCUUUUACACCAUCGUGUUAAAAGUAAGACUGAGGAGUUCAAAAUAUUGUUCUUAAAAUGUUGAGCUGUGCAAAACAAAUAACAAAAACAGACAAAGUAUUAAAUUUUCGAACUUUAAGCUUCCUACUGUAAGUUCCUGGUAUUAACCUGGAUUCUUUCAUCUCUCUUCAAUGACCAUGCUAUGCUUUUAAUUCUCUUUACACCAUCUACAAUCUCAUAGCCCAUGCUGAGUCA